rnacentral:rRNA from 15 species
UGCUGGAGGUAUCAGAAGUGCGAAUGCUGACAUGAGUAGCGUUAAAGGGGGUGAAAAGCCCCCUCGCCGAAAGCGCAAGGUUUCCUACGCAACGUUCAUCGGCGUAGGGUGAGUCGGCCCCUAAGGCGAGGCAGAGAUGCGUAGCUGAUGGGAAGCAGGUUAAUAUUCCUGCACCGUCGUAUGAUGCGAUGGGGGGACGGAUCGCGGAAGGUUGUCCAACUGUUGGAA